UCGCUACUACCGAUUGAAUGGCUCAGUGAGGCCUUCGGACUGGCUCCAGGAGGUCGGCAACGACCACCCAGAGCCGGAAAGUUGGUCAAACUUGGUCAUUUAGAGGAAGUAAAAGUCGUAACAAGGUUUCCGUAGGUGAACCUGCGGAAGGAUCAUUACCAAAUAGCACCUCAGGCUGUAACAGCCUUGAAGCUUUCAACCUCUUGUGAACCAAACCUUUUUCGCUUCGGCAGCGGUGGCAUUUUUGCCAUGUCAGCCUGCCGUUAGCAUUCAUUCAAAACCUGCUUUAUUACAUGUCUGAACAUAAAUUUUUGAAUUAAAUCAAAACUUUCAACAACGGAUCUCUUGGUUCCCGCAUCGAUGAAGAACGCAGCGAAACGCGAUAGUUAAUGUGAAUUGCAGAAUUCAGUGAAUCAUCGAGUCUUUGAACGCAUAUUGCGCCCAUUGGUAUUCCAUUGGGCAUGUCUGUUUGAGCGUCAUUUCAAACCCUCGACUUUUGUCGGUUUUGAGCUGGCUUUAUGGGUGCAAACCCAAGCUGGUUUUAAAGCGGUAAGCUUUGCUGACCACUGCUCCAAACCAAAAACAUAGUAAAUUCUGCUUGUUGAUGGUGGGGUGGUUCCAGCCUGGAAAAUGACACUUUGUGGUUUGACCUCAGAUCAGAUAAGGAUACCCGCUGAACUUAAGCAUAUCAAUAAGCGGAGGAAAAGAAACCAACAGGGAUUGCCUCAGUAACGGCGAGUGAAGCGGCAACAGCUCAAAUUUGAAAUCUGGGGCCUCCAGCUCCCGAAUUGUAAUUUGAAGAGGAUGUUUCGGUUGCGGUCACGGCCCAAGUUCCUUGGAACAGGACGUCAUGGAGGGUGAGAAUCCCGUACCUGGCUGCCGACUUGCUUCCAUGUGAAACUCCUUCGAAGAGUCGAGUUGUUUGGGAAUGCAGCUCAAAAUGGGUGGUAAAUUUCAUCUAAAGCUAAAUAUUGGCGGGAGACCGAUAGCGCACAAGUAGAGUGAUCGAAAGAUGAAAAGCACUUUGAAAAGAGAGUUAAACAGUACGUGAAAUUGUUGAAAGGGAAGCGCUUGCAAUCAGACUCGCUUUCGGUUGAUCAACGUUCCUUUUGGUUCGUGCACUCUGCCGUUUGCGGGCCAGCAUCAGCUGGGGCGGUGGGACAAAGACUUCAGGAAUGUGGCUCUCUUUGGGGAGUGUUAUAGCCUGUUGUGUAAUGCCACCUGUCCCGGCUGAGGUCCGCGGUUCGCCUAGGAUGCUGGCUUAAUGGUUGUAAGCGACCCGUCUUGAAACACGGACCAAGGAGUCUAACAUCUAUGCGAGUCUUUGGGUGUCAAACCCAUGGGCGUAAUGAAAGUGAACGGAGGUGGGAGUCCUCGGAUGCACCAUCGACCGAUCCUGAUGUUCUCGGAUGGAUUUGAGUAGGAGCAUAGCUGUUGGGACCCGAAAGAUGGUGAACUAUGCCUGAAUAGGGUGAAGCCAGAGGAAACUCUGGUGGAGGCUCGCAGCGGUUCUGACGUGCAAAUCGAUCGUCAAAUUUGGGUAUAG
rnacentral:rRNA from 1 species